rnacentral:lncRNA from 1 species
AAACUAGCUCUGGGCGGCGCGAGGUAGGUUGUCUUUCUUGCUGGGUGCUGGAGGCUGGCUUCGGCUGGACAAGGCUGAGGUGACUGCAGCUCCUUCUGGAGAGCUUCGGUUUCUCGUAUUUGUCUUCUCUACCUUCGCUCGUCCAGCUGUCUUUCGAUUUGCGUACGUAUGGAAGGGUUGCUGAUGGUUCCCCUUUCCUAAUUCCUCUGCCCACCUUCCAGCCAUUCCUCACUUCCCUGGUCCCUUUUUUGAUCCCUGUCUCUUCUGUACGUUCUGACCCGUACCAUUCCCUCACGUCCUGUGAAUACGACGUGUUCGGGAUGCACAGUUGCACCGGGAAACGAGGAGGUGCUCCGGGAGCACCCAUUUGCUUACUUACCCCACCAGUCUCCCUAUCCUCGCACAGGGUCUUCUCAAUGCAGAUGGUGGAUGAAUGGGUUGGAGCUAUGGGGACAGACUAAGCGAUUUAAAAGCAUUUUUCUUCUAGGCUACUGCUCCACUGGCCCAUUAUUUUGCUGCGACAUAAGAGAUUAAGGGGGGGAGGGGGCGUCAUAGCUGGUCGGAUCUAUGGCAAAACUGACGCAGUGUUUCUGUGCUACCAAGGAACGUGUUAGAGAAGAUUUCUCUCAUUUUACACUCAACAGUGUUUAGCAUAGCUAAAUUAUCCCUAUGCUAAUAAUAUUAACGACCUUUUGUUGAAUGGUUACUAUGUGCCAGGUACUUGGACUAAGUUCUUAAAAUAAAUUGUUUGGUUUUGUUACAAAACUACAACCGCAGAGAUUAAGUGCUAUGGUUAAUUUCUGUUCC